rnacentral:snRNA from 1 species
UCCGAGCACCGGCUUUCUUCUUC